UUAAAACUAUCAUUUAAUAACUUUUCAAAAAAUAGAAUGUUGUGCUACAUACCAUGUAUAUAUUCCUUAUUAUGCAGUUACUACUCAUCAAUAGGCGAUCAGCAAACGAACAUCACAUUAUCAGUAUGCUAGUAUUUACAUAAUGUACAUUUCAAUUUUUUGUUCUACUAUGAUUGCUAUAUAAUUAACUACUGUACACCAUAGAUACAAAACACCUACAAACAAAAUUGAUGCUAUCGUGAUUUUUAUAAACUCUAAAAGAGAAGAUAAUGAGUUUACAACUAUUUUUGGGAUAUAGGUAUUCGUGUUCACCACUUGGUUUGUCAUUUUUAAUAUCUAUACUUCGUUUGAAUAGAUACAACAUUCAAGAAAACACAUUUUCUAGUUAAGAAAACGAAAACACUUCGAAAACAAUAUGCUGAACAUAUUCAGUAAAAUUUAUAAACUGUUUUUUUAGAUGAGUAUUUGCUGUAUAGUGAUUGUCUUAAAUUAUUCCUCAGAUUUUAAACUUGUAUUUUUAUUUAUAUUUUUUAGAGCACCGUAAGUGUUAUGGACCAUAAAGAUAAGUAUAUUGUGAUAAGUUUACAAAAAAUGAAAAAAUGAAACGACAAUAGAUAGUGAAUGUUGUAUAUAGUGUUAUUUUUUUUAAAUUGGACAAUAUAAAAACAGUUCUUAUCAAUAAAGACGCAAUUAUAUAGAAGAAACAAAACCCAUUCGUAUAUUAGAAGCAAUGCGAUAUUUUGAUCAGUGUGAUUUAAAUGAAAUAUUAAGUAGUCUGAAUUCAAACGUGAACAAAUAGAAAAUACAAUUCGUAUUGUUGUUUAUAAAUAUCUUUAACAACACCAUGUUGUACAUGUAUCUGUAAACGGACAAUAUUUGAAAGUUUUAUAACCUUUGAUAUCCACAGUUAACUAAUUAUUACUCACGUAUGGAAUUUUUAUAUGCUUUAAUUGAUAAAGGAACAAACAUGUUUUUCAGUUGCGUUUGUUAUUUGUUAUGACAGUAAGACCAAACAGGCAAUAGAAGACUGAAGUUCAACCAGUGCUUCAGAAAACAUUAUAUGUUUGUGAUUUUAAAAUAUUACAAACACAAAAUUUUAAUUUUUGUCAUGAUUAUUGACUAUAACAUUUAACAAAAAGCUGUCAGUUCUACUAUCACUUUACUACUUAUACAACGGCGGCUUCUAUAACUCAUUGCUAGAUGGUAUGAUGUAUUGUAUGAUCAUUUACUUGAUUUUAUAUUUUUUGCAGUCGGUAAGUGAAUAGUUUCAAACAGAUAAGUAUAGUUUACAAUUAUCUCGCAAUUUAUAACAUGACGAUAGUCUUUAAACUUGAAUAAUGUUCUUAAUUAUGCCGGUUGCAAUAAGCGGAAUGAUCUAAUUGCGUAACGAUAUUCCAAGUUAUCCAAAUGUCGUAUAUGUUUAGUAUGUCCGUAUUUCUGAAAAAAGGUGACAAUAUGUCUAAAUUGUAACAAUAUUUUUUUAUCUUGUGACUUCUUUCUCAUUAUUCCUUUCAUGUUAUAUAUCUAUAUGUCCAAUCAAUGUAUCAAUUCCCUAUAUUUACAUACUAUGCUGUUAACCAGAGUUCCUGGUUAUUUGAUUAAUCGUCGCCAUUCAAAGUUGUUUCCGAUUAAUAAUAAAUGUAUGACGUCAUAUGUUUUUAAAACAUAGUUCUAGAAUUACAAAAACAAACAUGUGUUGUCCUUUGUGUUAUUUAAUAUAUAUAUAUCAUACCAUUACUAUUUCAAAUAUAUGUAUUAUUUAACUUUAUUCGGUAACUGUCAAGUACCAAAUCGAAAACUAAAACUAAAAACUUUGAGCAUUUGUUGUCAUAGGAAUCAUAUGACAAAUGGCAGUCUUCUUAUAAAAGUGGAUACAUGUGAUAGUUGCAAUGUUUGAAAAUUGUUAUCAAGAUGCAUAAAUAACACUGUUACUUUGCUUAUGCAAAAAUCAAAUAAACUUGAAUAUUUUAAUUUGAUAAAUUAUGUGUUCAGUCAUUAAUCUAUUAGCCAAUAGGAUAAACAUUACAACAUGUGGUAGAAUUGACAAUGAGACAGCUACCCAACAUAGAGUAAAUUAUGUUGAUGGUAGUUACAAUAAGUCACAUUACGGGCAAUAUAGAGUAAAUUAUGUUGAUGGUAGUUGCAAUAAGUCACAUUACGGGCAAUAUAGAGUAAAUUAUGUUGAUGGUAGUUGCAAUAAGUCACAUUACGGGCAACAUAGAGUAAAUUAUGUUGUUGGUAGUUACAAUAAGUCACAUUACGGGCUUUUCCACAAAUACCGUAUAUUAAAGAUUCCAAAAUGACAAUAUGUGAACCAUUUCAAACUAUAGAACUUAAAACUGUUAGGUCCGAUAGGUUAAUACAUUUUGACAAAAGUUCGACAAUAAUAUAAUAUGUUCUCAUUGUAGCUGUUCCUGUGGAGAAUCGGGAGGUCGUGGUUCGAAUCUCGACCAGGUCUAACAAAGUCGUAAAAAUGGUACAUGUAAUUGCUGUUUCAACGCUAAACUAACGGUAUUUAAAAAUGGAUGAAUCUCAUAAGAUAACAGUGACAGCCAGUAAUAAACAUUAGCGAAACACAGAAAUGAUGGAAAACACUACCUUCCGAUGCAUAAACAAUAUUAAACAAUCUGAAUGUAAUGUGUACUUGUUUUAUUUGGAUGCACGUUUUAUGUUUAAAAUAAAUAUGAUUCUGAUACAUCAAAAUAGAAACUUUACAAUUGUUUCCCUAAAAUCUGUUUUAACCACAUAAGAAUUAUGUCGUACGUGUUGCAUCACACGAAUCAUUUAUACUUUUAUAUUUUCUUAUGUCAGAUAAUUAUUAAAUGCUCUCCCGUAACUGAAUAUUAUAUCAAAUUCAAAAUAAUUAGCUAUACUUCUUACCAAUCAAGUGUUAUAUAACUACAAUCAAUAUCCUAGUGUCCGUUACUUAUUCAAAUUGAUUUCACUUUUCUAUUUAUCCUACAAAAAAUGUUAUUAUAAAACUUAACGUAUUGAAAAGCAUUAUACACUGUCGGAAUAGUCCUAGGUAAUUGAUUCGAAACAAAUCAACACUGUAGACUUUUCUAGUACUUCAAGUUAUUAUUCAAAUUGUACACAAUAUGUCUAUAACCCUACAAUGUAUUUCUUUAUGUGGAUUCAAUUAUCAUACAUAUAUUUGAUUUAUACGUUCUUUCUGCAUUUAAACUAGUAAACAUGUAGAUUGAAAUUGUAUUAUAUUUAACGCGCGAGACUACUAUACAUAAUUUUGUAAUAUGUAUAUGAAUGUUAUUUCUUUUGUUUUAUAAAAUGUUAUGAUUAUAUUUAAAUGUGUAGUCUUUCGAAAUCAUGAAGUAAAGUUGCAACUGGUUUGACUAGAAUGUGUUUUACCUGUUUCGCCCACAUCGUCAUGUCUUUGAUAGAAACAUUUCGUCAACGUUUUCACGGCUUCGUUGAAAGGGAAUUAUUUCAUAUUUGGUGCGCAACUUGAUAAUGUUGAGUUGUGGCGACUUUCUGUUUGCCAAUAGUUCAAAAUAACUCUGAUUGUACAAGGAGAAUGUUCAUAAAAGUUUACUUGGCCUGAUUGAAAGGAAUGAUUAGUUAUGUUUCAGUAUACAUGUUGUUAUGAUAUUGUUAUUAUCAUGUUUAUUUAUCUUGGCCUAAUUUGUUUUGUGUGGCCUUAUAAUAUUUAUAAUAUGCUUACAUCAUAUUUAUAGUUGUUUACAAAAUAAUGUUAUAAUUGUGCAGUUUAGAAAUCACUUGAACAAUCAUAGAUACUGAUGGAAUGAUUAGAACUUUCUAUUUGACUGACAUAUUAAUUCUGAAAUGAUCAUAAUAUACGAUGUGUAAUUUAAACUUCCACUAUAUUCUAGGAGUUUUGCUUCUACAGUGUUCUAGAGGUUUCCGUGACAACUACAUAUACAGACACCGAAAUUAUACUUUUUUAGACAUUAAUUUACUUGGAUUCACAGGAGUUCUCUGAAGUUGUUGUAUUGAUACUUUAUUUACGUUAACUACAUCAUACUAGAAUGGACAUAUUCCGUACAGUUAAGAGAAUAAUUCCGGAUAAAGAAAAGACAAAAGACCGGACAUAUAACUUAACAGUUAAGUUAACAUUUCAAUUUGUAUAAUAUUUCUUGUAAACUUGUGUAUAAUAAAUCCUGAUAAAUAUUA